UACGUAGGGGGCUAGCGUUGUCCGGAAUCAUUGGGCGUAAAGAGCGCGUAGGCGGCCAGAUAAGUCCGGUGUGAAAGUCAAAGGCUCAACCUUUGAAUGCCGCUGGAAACCGUAUGGCUAGAGUCCGGAAGAGGAGAGUGGAAUUCCUGGUGUAGCGGUGAAAUGCGCAGAUAUCAGGAAGAACACCCGUGGCGAAGGCGGCUCUCUGGGACGGUACUGACGCUGAGACGCGAAAGCGUGGGGAGCGAACAGG
rnacentral:rRNA from 1 species